CAAAGUGGCAGAUCAGAGGAGGGGUCAAAAUCCCUAGCGGCAGCUAAUCCCCAUUGCGCCUGGCACAUCUCUCUUCUCCCCCAUCCUCCUUCUCCACCUCCGGACGCCGCCAGGGCUAGGCCGCCGUGGUGGUGCGCCUCCCAUCCACCUGCACCACUCCACUCCGCCGCCUCAGCCAUCCAUCCACCGUGCGCCUCCCAGCCACCAGCACCUCCCACCACAUCACCCAUCUCCAUCCACCAGCGCCACUCACCAGCAUCACAACGCUUCCCCGCACCUCGCACCCCUGUGCUGCUGCUCUUCUUCUCCAACUGCCACUGCUCCUCCCCUUGUCCCUUCUGCUGAUGCUCUUCCCUGCUGUCCUUCUUCCCUUGCCUUGCUCCUUCUCCAUCUCUUGCUGCUACUUCUUCUUCUCUGAACCUCAUUUCUUCUCCUUGCAUCCCCUUGUUGCAGCGCCUCUUUCUUUGCUGCUGCUUCUCUUCUCACGCCCCCUGCUACUUUUCUUCUCCAAGCACCGCUGCUUCUUCUCCAUCACGAAACUGUUGCCCCUCUCUUGCUGCGCCCCUGCUGCUUCUUCUCACGCUGCUGCUGCUCUCUAUCCCCAUGUCCCUGCUGCUGUUCUUCUCUGAAACCUCAAAACUGCUGCUUCUUCUCCCUCUCUCUAUUCUCUAAUUUUCUGUAAUCUUGAGUAGUGUAAUGUUCAGUACUUUGAAAUGUUCAGAAUUGAGAUGUGUAGCACUUGUAAGGUUCAGAUUUUGAAAAGUGUUUGCAAUAAACUAGUUUGUUCAGUUCGUACUUGUUAAAUAUCAUGUCAUAAAUUCUAUGUUCUGAAUAGUGGAUUUCUUGUUGCUUUGGGAACUAACUCAUAUGUAAUAUUUUGUUACUUUGGUAAUUAGUGUUCUGUCAGCAUAUAUGUGUGUUCACCCUGUGUAUUUCUUCUCGCUGUCUAGUUAAAUUCUAUCAGUAUUAGUUGUUAAAUACUGUUGUGUUGAUCUGUGGGUACUAAUCUUGUGGCUUGUAAGAUUUCAUUUCUGUUGUCACUUGUGUAACCUGAACCGUGGUGUCGUAUCCUGUUCGCAUAUGUGUGGUUUUGUGUGGUCUGUAGUCCCUGUAUCAGCUAUGUACCUAUGAUAUAUGAAUGUGCGUGUGUGUGUUUGAUUUGAAACAAUUAUAUUCUGUCAUAUACUGUCGCUUCUUCCUACUGUUAUAUGUUUGAUACUAAUGUGUCCUCGUCUUGUAGCUUUACUUGAUAUUGACUCCUGUUUGUGUUAGUAUUUUAAUUCCUCAAAUAAAACAAAAUACCAAAAAGAUAGUGAGUAAUAUCUUAACCUCCCUUUGCUAUUUUGCAUUUUCUUGGUGGCCUAUCUUUGGGUACAAUCAUUGUUAGUUUAGAUUCUUAUUUUCUGCAUUUAUCUCUUAAAAUUGUGCUACCUAGCUUUAGCCAAGCAUAGUCGUCGUCGCCUAGUCCCUGUGGAGAACACGACAUCCGUAGUUUGGGGCGUAAAAACCCCGCUAUACUUUCAAAUGAUCAUUUUGGCGCCGUUGCCGGGGACUAGCGUCGAGCGAUUGUGCUAGGCUAUAGACUAGGUUUUUCUUGUUUUCAUCUUGUGCCAUAUAUUUGUGAUAUAUCUCUAGCCACUAACCCCUGUUCUAGUUAUUAUCUUUUUGUCUUCUUUUCCUUUUUGCAGGUUGGAUUAUCCUCUCGCAAAUGGCAUUCUAUUCAGAUCAUCAUGCUUAUGCGAGCAACACUACAAACAACACGGAAAGUAUACAAGAACUGAUAAGUAAGAUUUCCCAUCGAUUAGAUGAUUUAGCUCGACAGCGAGAGGUAGUUUUUGAGGAUAGGCCUAGCUCUUAUGAUCCUUAUUCUAGAGGUCAUCCUUAUGUUGCUCCUACAUGCCAUAUUUGUGGUUACUCUCACCCUCCCGAUUGUUAUGGCACGAGCUUCGCCCCACAGCCUAGCUCAUACCAAAAAAAUUACACACAUGGGUGGCCUGAAAACCAGAAUAUGUCAUAUAGGAGCAAUAACCCUGAGAUCUCAUCAUUUUCCUCUAGUUAUCCGAUGCAGGGAUUUAGGUAUGAAGAGGAGAGCCACAACUAAGCUCCACAACAGAUUUAUUCAGCUCCUACUCAUAUACCUCAACACCAGGACAUGUUGCCAAUGGAGUUAAAUGGUCCUCCAUUUGGUCAACCAACAUCUUCAACACAAGUGCCCACACAAGAUGACUUUGAUGAUAUAUACAAGCUCACAUUGCUUGGUCUAGAGUUCACUUGGAGUGCCGAAGAUGAUCCAAUUAGGCCGGUGAUACUAGAGGAAAUGAAGAAGAUUAAGAGUGGAAAGGAUCUAGUGGAAGAAGUAAAGAAGAUUGAGAAGAACAUCAACACUGGUAGUACUAUUUCUUCAUAGCUUGAGCUGAGUAAUUCUGGGAUUCUCCUUGAUACAUGUGAGGUUCCAAUACCGUCACAUCCAGCUGAGCAAGAUAGCAAGUGCCUUGAGCAUGAGAUACCUCAGAUUGAAGAAGAUGAACUAGAAGACAAGGAACAAGAUGAUGAAGAGCUGCAAUUCCCAAGUGAUCAAGUUGAAGACUCGUCAUCUACUACUCCUGAAGAAGUACAAGAAGCUGCUGUAGAUGAAGAUGAAGAACCUGAGAUUCAUUGGCCUAUUGUCAUACAUGAGCGUGAUGUGUCAGGUUUACCCAAUCCUCUUGAUGACAUGCUCCCUUGUGAUUUCUUUGCUUCUAACUUGCAUUGCAUGAUGCCAUUACUUAAGGUAGAUUUGAAAAACUAUUUGCUUGGAUAUGAUCAUAUAUACCCUGUUAGUGGCAUUACUCUCAUUUGUGAUGAUCACAAUUACUUUCCUCGUGCUAGUUCUAUGCUUAAUGAAACAUAUCAUUCCCAUGUUAGUCUUGAGCUUAAUGAUAAAUAUCAUCCUCAUGUUAGCAUUGAGCUUACUGAUUUGUACCAUCCUAAACAUGUGCUUUAUAGCUAUGCUUAUGUAAUUGGGUACUCUAUAGAUGAUUUAGAGGGCAUUACCCUUGUCACUUGUAUUGUUUCCUUGGUUGAGUGCUCUUUCAGGUUGUUGCUUGUGCACGAUCCACUACAUGCUGACCAAGUUCGAGAUGACAUUCCCUGGGACCCAGGUGGACCCAUGGCAUGGGGAUGAGGAGAAGCAAGGAGCACACAUGAAGAGAGAAGCUGGAGCAGGCAUGAGGAUAGAGAAGCAAAAGGAGAGGAGUUGCAGUUGGUGAGGUGAUCGAGCGAGUGCUACAUCAUCAAAGCCCGGUGAGCUAUUUCAUGACCCAUUCCGAGUAUAUCAUCCAUUGAUACAAGCUGAAAUCAUUUGAUAUUUGGGUUGCUUGAGUCAUUUCUUAAAUACUGUCCCGCUGAAUUUUAUUUGACAUAUGGUGCUUGAUGAGAAUAUGCGAACUGAUUGUUGAAUGCCAUGUAAACUAGUGAUAUACAUGUUGCUUGCUUUGCUGAAAUUAGUUUUGAGUGCUCAAAUCCCUAGUACACUAGAAAACUUAAUCAUUUUCUGCUUUUACCUCGAUACACCUAGAUCACAACAUUUAGAUGCUGAAUUUGUGCCAAGUGUCUUCCCAUUGAGAGCAAUCACCUAACCACUAUGGAUUAGCAUGCUAUGUUCCCUGGAUCGGUAGCAUGUGAACCAGACAUGGAGAAGUGAUGAUUCCUGUUUUUGUUCUUAUGCAUUGUUCAUUUAAGAUAAGUAAUAAUGAAUAAAUAAGUCUGACUACCUACAGUAGCAUGUCAUGUUCCCGGGAUCGGUGGCAUGUGAAAUCGGGUUAGCUUGGGCAGUAAUUAAUAAUAAUAAAAAUGUAAUUGUCGAACCAGGUGUAUACCAUGUUCUCGGGAUCGGUGGUAUGUUCCUUUGGGGAGACAAACACACUAAAAAAACUAAUAAUUGGUCGAGCCAGGUGUAUACCAUGUUCUCGGGAUCGGUGGUAUGUUCCUUUGGUGAGACUGAUAAAAUAUUAUCAUUACUUCCUUCAAAUUUAAUAAGUGGUUCAACCACAAAAUCAUAUUUCUGCAAAUAAGAGAUUUAAUUCCAGUUCUUUUUGUUCUCGGGAUCAUGCUCUCUUUAGGAACCAUUUGGCACAGUCAUCAUUUAAACUUGUUGAUCCUCUUUUAUCACUGUAAAAGUUUAAAAUGGUCAUGCUUACUAGUAUCCUACCGCUUUGAAGCACUCCUAACCAUUAAUUUUCACUAGCUAAGUCCAAAGCAUGCACUGUUUAGAGAUCUACUUCACUUGGUAUUCUCUAGUCAGCUCACUGUUCACAUUCUUGCUCUUGUCAUAUGCCUUUGCUUGAGGACAAGCAAAAGUUUAAGUGUGGGGGAACUUGAUAAGCACAUUUAAUAUAUGCAAUUUUGGCAUAGAAAUAUAUUAUUUAUUGAGAUAUGACCAUCAAUUCUUGCUGUGAAAUAUUGAAUAUUUGCAUGAAAAUCAUAUAAAGUAUCAUUUACUAGUCAUUGUGUUUCUUUUGCAGAAAAGUGCGCAAAGGCACUAUAAACUUCAAGAUCUGGACUAGUGGCUAAGAGAACCAGUCAAGUGAAAAGGAAGAAGAAAGACAGAGGGACUUGUGUGUGAAGAAAUGAUGCUCCAUGGGACAAGUUAAAGAAGAAAGGGACCUUCUUAUGAAGAAAGAAGAAAAGGAGAAGGGCCAAAAAUGCAAAGUGGCAGAUCAGAGGAGGGGUCAAAAUCCCUAGCGGCAGCUAAUCCCCAUUGCGCCUGGCACAUCUCUCUUCUCCCCCAUCCUCCUUCUCCACCUCCGGCCGCCGCCACGGCCAGGCCGCCGUGGUGGUGCGCCUCCCAUCCACCUGCACCACUCCACUCCGCCACCUCAGCCAUCCAUCCACCGUGCGCCUCCCAGCCACCAGCACCUCCCACCACAUCACCCAUCUCCAUCCACCAGCACCACUCACCAGCAUCACAGCGCUUCCCCGCACCUCGCGCCCCUGUGAUGCUGCUCUUCUUCUCCAACUGCCGCUGCUCCUCCCCUUGUCCCUUCUGCUGAUGCUCUUCCCUGCUGUCCUUCUUCCCUUGCCUUGCUCCUUCUCCAUCUCUUGCUGCUACUUCUUCUUCUCUGAACCUCAUUUCUUCUCCUUGCAUCCCCUUGUUGCUGCGCCUCUUUCUUUGCUACUGCUUCUCUUCUCACGCCCCCUGCUACUUUUCUUCUCCAAGCCCCGCUGCUUCUUCUCCAUCACGAAACUGCUGCCCCUCUCUUGCUGCGCCCCUGCCGCUUCUUCUCACGCUGCUGCUGCUCUCUAUCCCCACGUCCCUGCUGCUGCUCUUCUCUGAAACCUCAAAACUGCUGCUUCUUCUCCCUCUCUCUAUUCUCUAAUUUUCGGUAAUCUUGAGUAGUGUAAUGUUCAGUACUUUGAAAUGUUCAGAAUUGAGAUGUGUAGCUCUUGUAAGGUUCAGAUUUUGAUAAGUGUUUGCAAUAAACUAGUUUGUUCAGUUCGUACUUGUUAAAUAUCAUGUCAUAAAUUCUAUGUUUUUAAUAGUGGAUUUCUUGUUGCUUUGGGAACUAACUCAUAUGUAAUAUUUUGUUACUUUGGUAAUUAGUGCUCUGUCAGCAUAUAUGUGUGUUCACCCUGUG
rnacentral:lncRNA from 1 species